CCUACGGGUGGCAGCAGUGAGGAAUCUUUGUCAAUGGACGAGAGUCUGAAGCAGCCAAGUAGCGUGACGGAUGACUGCCCUAUGGGUUGUAAACUUCUUUUUUCUGGGAAUAAAACAGGGUAUGCAUACCCUCUUGUUUGUACCAUUUGAAUAAGGAUCGGCUAAAUCCGUAACAGCAGCCGCGGUAAUGCGGAGUAUCCGAGCGUUAUCCGGGUAUAUUGUGUUUAAAGGGAUCGUAGGUGGAGUGGUAAGUCAGUUGUGAAAGUUUGCUGCUCAACCGUAAGAUUGCAGUUGAAACUGGCAGUCUUGAGGACAGUAGAGGUGAGCGGAAUUCGUGGUGUAGCGGUGAAAUGCUUAGAUAUCACGAAGAACUCCGAUUGCGAAGGCAGCUCACUGGAAUGCAACUGACACUGAGGCACGAAAGUGUGGGUAUCAAACAGGAUUAGAUACCCUUGUAGUC
rnacentral:rRNA from 1 species